CAAAGAGAGUGAAGAUUGACUUACAACAAUGGCUUUAGUGGCGGACUGGUGAGUAAUGUAUAAGUAACCUAGCCUAUCAGAGGGGAACAACAGUUGGAAACGACUGCUAAUACCGCAUAUGCCAUAUGGGAGACAUCUUCCAAGUGGAAAGGAGUAACCCGCUGAUAGAUGGACUUAUAUCUGAUUAGCUAGUUGGUGGGGCAACGGCCUACCAAGGCGACGAUCAGUAGCCGGACUGAGAGGUUAAACGGCCACAUUGGGACUGAGAUACGGCCCAGACUCCUACGGGAGGCAGCAGUCGGGAAUAUUGCGCAAUGGAGGAAAAACCUCUGACGCAGUGACGCCGCGUGCAGGAAGAAGGUUUUCGGAUUGUAAACUGCUUUAGACAGGGAAGAAAAAGACAGUACCUGUAGAAUAAGCUCCGGCUAACUACGUGCCAGCCGCCGC
rnacentral:rRNA from 1 species